UACAGAGACUGCAAGCGUUAUUCGGAUUCACUGGGCGUAAAGGGCGCGUAGGCGGUCGUGACAAGUCACUUGUGAAAUCUCCGGGCUUAACUCGGAACGGUCAAGUGAUACUGUCGGACUAGAGUACAGAAGGGGCAACUGGAAUUCUCGGUGUAGCGGUGAAAUGCGUAGAUAUCGAGAGAAACACCUGCGGCGAAGGCGGGUUGCUGGGCUGAUACUGACGCUGAGGCGCGAAAGCCAGGGGAGCGAACGGGG
rnacentral:rRNA from 1 species